rnacentral:rRNA from 1 species
UACGAAGGGGGCUAGCGUUGCUCGGAAUCACUGGGCGUAAAGCGCACGUAGGCGGAUUGUUAAGUCAGGGGUGAAAUCCUGGAGCUCAACUCCAGAACUGCCUUUGAUACUGAAGAUCUUGAGUUCGGGAGAGGUGAGUGGAACUGCGAGUGUAGAGGUGAAAUUCGUAGAUAUUCGCAAGAACACCAGUGGCGAAGGCGGCUCACUGGCCCGAUACUGACGCUGAGGCACGAAAGCGUGGGGAGCAAACAGGG